rnacentral:rRNA from 1 species
UACAGAGGUCCCAAGCGUUGUUCGGAUUCACUGGGCGUAAAGGGCGCGUAGGCGGUCAGGUCAGUCCCGUGUGAAAUCCCUCGGCUCAACUGAGGAACUGCACGGGAAACUACCUGGCUUGAGUUCGGGAGGGGCGAGUGGAAUUCCUGGUGUAGCGGUGAAAUGCGCAGAUAUCAGGAGGAACACCAAUGGCGAAGGCAGCUCGCUGGAACGGUACUGACGCUGAGGCGCGAAAGCGUGGGGAGCAAACAGG